rnacentral:lncRNA from 1 species
CGCCAGCUUUAAUCAUCGUAACAGCACAAUCCUGUAAUUAUUCAGACGUUCUAGGAACUUCAGUCCUUAUCCUCAAGAUAUAUUUGCAUAAUCUUGCAGUUUCAUGGAGGGGUCCUAGUCGUACCUUCUGACCAAUUAACAUCCUUGAAUUCCACUUGNAAAAGGCUGUUUUCCAAACUGGCAUAUCAAUAGGGCCACGGGGACAUAAGACCAUGGCGGGGGGACAGNGGGGACGGCGGAUGAUUCUAGGAAACAUGUAUCUGAGAAAGUCAUUAUAAGUUAGUAAUAGAUCCUAUAGCAAUAACACAAAUGGAAGACAAAGGUACCCUAGGAUGCGUUUCAGGGCCAGUUAAUUCUUAACAAUAAACCAGGGGGCGUGAGAGUUUGGGAAAGAAAAGGGCGGCCGGCUGCUCUCGAAGAACGCAGCGCUCGAAGCUGUGCGCGUCGCACUUUGUGUAUGCUCACGAGCACGCUCUUNGCUGGCUGGCUGGCACUUCUUCGCGAGGCGAUGAGCCUUAAGGUCCCCUGCUACCCCUUGUGGCGGCAGGGAGGGAAGCCUCCGUCAACGCAUCCCCUGCCCUUCUGGGUCGCGGUCAAAGAGCGUCUUUUUGCCUCGCCUUGCGGUGUGCCGUCGGCUUUGAGGACGGCUGCAGGCAGCCAGCAGCCAUAGCAGCAGCCCUCCCCUUCCGUCCCAGCCAGGAGGCACUCCCGAGCCCUCCUUCCCGCUCAGGCAGGGUCACUUCUGGGCAGACUGGGGCUGCGAGCGAGCGGGCGCCCGGCCGAGCCCUCGACGACAGUCAGCCACCGGCCUCCCCCCCCGCCGCGCCGCCGUCCCCGAGCGAGCCAGCAGCUGCGGCGGCUCUUCUUCGCCCGAGCCGCACUUUCUCAUUGGGCGCCCGCGCGCCCUCCCCGCCCCCGCCGCCAGCAGCUGCUNGCUCGCUCGUCUCGCCUGCCUCGGAGCGGCGGCAGCAGAAGCGACCGCGCGCCAGCCAGGAGGGCGAACUUUCUCCUUUGUUGGGGAACUUCGGCUCAGGAGUCCAGCCUUCCCGCGGGCAGCAGCCGCUGCCGCCGUGGAGGAGUAAAGCCGAGGCAAGUCAGGUGGCGGCCCCCGCCGCCGCUUUCACGGCUCUUCCUGCUGCCGUUCCUGGGAGGGCACCCCAGCCAGCCCCGGAGCAAGUAGUAGGCGUCCCUGGGGCGAAGAGGGAAGGUGUGAUGCGCCCCGGACCUGCGCUCCGAAUGCCCGUUGGGGAAACCGGCAAGGCGUUCAGGCUUGGCUGUGCUGUCUAA